rnacentral:rRNA from 1 species
AUGAACGCUAGCUACAGGCUUAACACAUGCAAGUCGAGGGGCAUCAGGAAGAAAGCUUGCUUUCUUUGCUGGCGACCGGCGCACGGGUGAGUAACACGUAUCCAACCUGCCCUUUACUCGGGGAUAGCCUUUCGAAAGAAAGAUUAAUACCCGAUAGCAUAAUGAUUCCGCAUGGUUUCAUUAUUAAAGGAUUCCGGUAAAGGAUGGGGAUGCGUUCCAUUAGGUUGUUGGUGAGGUAACGGCCCACCAAGCCUUCGAUGGAUAGGGGUUCUGAGAGGAAGGUCCCCCACAUUGGAACUGAGACACGGUCCAAACUCCUACGGGAGGCAGCAGUGAGGAAUAUUGGUCAAUGGGCGCUAGCCUGAACCAGCCAAGUAGCGUGAAGGAUGAAGGCUCUAUGGGUCGUAAACUUCUUUUAUAUAAGAAUAAAGUGCAGUAUGUAUACUGUUUUGUAUGUAUUAUAUGAAUAAGGAUCGGCUAACUCCGUGCCAGCAGCCGCGGUAAUACGGAGGAUCCGAGCGUUAUCCGGAUUUAUUGGGUUUAAAGGGAGCGUAGGUGGACUGGUAAGUCAGUUGUGAAAGUUUGCGGCUCAACCGUAAAAUUGCAGUUGAUACUGUCAGUCUUGAGUACAGUAGAGGUGGGCGGAAUUCGUGGUGUAGCGGUGAAAUGCUUAGAUAUCACGAAGAACUCCGAUUGCGAAGGCAGCUCACUGGACUGCAACUGACACUGAUGCUCGAAAGUGUGGGUAUCAAACAGGAUUAGAUACCCUGGUAGUCCACACAGUAAACGAUGAAUACUCGCUGUUUGCGAUAUACAGUAAGCGGCCAAGCGAAAGCAUUAAGUAUUCCACCUGGGGAGUGCGCCGGCAACGGUGAAACUCAAAGGAAUUGACGGGGGCCCGCACAAGCGGAGGAACAUGUGGUUUAAUUCGAUGAUACGCGAGGAACCUUACCCGGGCUUAAAUUGCAGUGGAAUGAUGUGGAAACAUGUCAGUGAGCAAUCACCGCUGUGAAGGUGCUGCAUGGUUGUCGUCAGCUCGUGCCGUGAGGUGUCGGCUUAAGUGCCAUAACGAGCGCAACCCUUAUCUUUAGUUACUAACAGGUUAUGCUGAGGACUCUGGAGAGACUGCCGUCGUAAGAUGUGAGGAAGGUGGGGAUGACGUCAAAUCAGCACGGCCCUUACGUCCGGGGCUACACACGUGUUACAAUGGGGGGUACAGAAGGCAGCUAGCGGGUGACCGUAUGCUAAUCCCAAAAGCCUCUCUCAGUUCGGAUCGAAGUCUGCAACCCGACUUCGUGAAGCUGGAUUCGCUAGUAAUCGCGCAUCAGCCACGGCGCGGUGAAUACGUUCCCGGGCCUUGUACACACCGCCCGUCAAGCCAUGGGAGCCGGGGGUACCUGAAGUACGUAACCGCAAGGAUCGUCCUAGGGUAAAACUGGUGAAAG